rnacentral:rRNA from 1 species
UACGGAGGGUGCAAGCGUUAAUCGGAAUUACUGGGCGUAAAGCGCGCGUAGGCGGCUCUUUAAGUCGGAUGUGAAAGCCCCGGGCUCAACCUGGGAACUGCAUCCGAUACUGGAAGGCUAGAGUGCGAGAGAGGGAGGUAGAAUUCCAUGUGUAGCGGUGAAAUGCGUAGAUAUAUGGAGGAAUACCAGUGGCGAAGGCGGCCUCCUGGCUCGACACUGACGCUGAGGUGCGAAAGCGU